rnacentral:snRNA from 1 species
GUAUUAACACAGUGACUUCUUUCCUUUUGCUGCGCGCUCGGUCAAAGAGGACGACCUUCCCCGAUAGAGACGGUACUGUUCAUCGGUCAAGGGUAUACGGUAGCUGCGCUCCCCCUGAAAUGAAAUAAAGGACAUUCCCCGGUAUUGUAGGAGUUUCCUGGUACAUCCUCAAGUUUCUCA